rnacentral:rRNA from 1 species
CUACGGGUGGCUGCAGUGGGGAAUAUUGGGCAAUGGGCGCAAGCCUGACCCAGCAACGCCGCGUGAGGGAAGAAGGUUUUCGGAUUGUAAACUCCUGUUAAGAGGGAAGAAAGACUUCUGGUUAAUACCCGGAAGGGAUGACGGUACCUCUAGAGAAAGCUCCGGCUAACUUCGUGCCAGCAGCCGCGGUAAUACGAGGGGAGCAAGCGUUAUUCGGAAUAACUGGGCGUAAAGCGUGCGUAGGCGGUCUACUAAGUCAGUUGUUAAAGACCUCGGCUUAACUGAGGGAGUGCGAUUGAUACUGGUGGACUGGAGGGCAGAAGAGAGAAGUGGAAUUCUUGGAGUAGCGGUAAAAUGCGUAGAUCUCAAGAGGAACACCGAUUGCGAAGGCAGCUUCUUGGUCUGUACCUGACGCUGAGGUACGAAAGCGUGGGGAGCAAACAGGAUUAGAUACCCCUGUAGUC